AGUGAACGCUGGCGGUAGGCCUAACACAUGCAAGUCGAACGGCAGCACAGUAAGAGCUUGCUCUUACGGGUGGCGAGUGGCGGACGGGUGAGGAAUACAUCGGAAUCUACUUUUUCGUGGGGGAUAACGUAGGGAAACUUACGCUAAUACCGCAUACGACCUACGGGUGAAAGCAGGGGAUAUUCGGACCUUGCGCGAAUGAAUGCGCCGAUGUCGGAUUAGUUAGUUGGCGGGGUAAAGGCCAACCAAGGCGAGGAUCCGUAGCUGGUCUGAGAGGAUGAUCAGCCACACUGGAACUGAGACACGGUCCAGACUCCUACGGGAGGCAGCAGUGGGGAAUAUUGGACAAUGGGCGCAAGCCUGAUCCAGCCAUACCGCGUGGGUGAAGAAGGCCUUCGGGUUGUAAAGCCCUUUUGUUGGGAAAGAAAAGCAGCAGGUUAAUACCCCGCUGUUCUGACGGUACCCAAAGAAUAAGCACCGGCUAACUUCGUG
rnacentral:rRNA from 1 species